rnacentral:rRNA from 1 species
ACAGAUCGUUCAGAGUUUGAUCCUGGCUCAGGAUGAACGCUGGCGGCGUGCUUAACACAUGCAAGUCGAACGAAGCACUUUUGACAGAUUCUUCGGAUGAUGGAUUUAGUGACUGAGUGGCGGACGGGUGAGUAACGCGUGGGUAACCUGCCUCAUACAGGGGGAUAACAGUUAGAAAUGACUGCUAAUACCGCAUAAGCGCACAGGACCGCAUGGUCUGGUGUGAAAAACUCCGGUGGUAUGAGAUGGACCCGCGUCUGAUUAGCUAGUUGGUGGGGUAACGGCCUACCAAGGCAACGAUCAGUAGCCGGCCUGAGAGGGUGAACGGCCACAUUGGGACUGAGACACGGCCCAA